CCCUUCUCUUUAAAGCACCCUGCUAAAACUACGGGAGCCAAGCCUUUCAGGUGUAGCUCACGUGGCCGUGUCAGCAUGGGUACACCAGGGAAGGAGAUGAAAGGCACAUGGUCGGAAAUGAGAGUUGGAAGGACCUCUUUCUUAAUGUCCACUUUCCUCUUUCUCAAGAUCAUGUGUCACAUGU